rnacentral:rRNA from 1 species
UACGUAGGGUGCGAGUGUUGUUCGGAGUUACUGGGCGUAAAGCGCGCGUAGGCGGCUUGACAAGUCGAGUGUGAAAUCCCCGGGCUUAACCUGGGAGCUGCAUUCGAAACUGUCUUGCUAGAGUAUGGGAGAGGGAGGUGGAAUUUCAGGUGUAGCGGUGAAAUGCGUAGAUAUCUGAAGGAACAUCAGUGGCGAAAGCGACCUCCUGGACCAAUACUGACGCUCAGGUGCGAAAGCGUGGGGAGCAAACAGG